UUUCCCCUUUCUUCCUUUACUCUUUUCCCUUUCUUUUCUACCAUCUCGACGAAAGGAACACUAAAAACCCCAACCUCACUCUUCUCCAUCUCCACCUAGCCGACCACACAAAAGGACUUUUCUUCUCAUCGACGGUGACCCACAACGUUUCGGUCAGUCACUAAAGGGAACGGCAGACCACGACGCAUUUCGGCCAUAUGCUUUUCGGACGGCGACGUUUAAGCUAAGUAGAAGCUAUACACGUUUAGGGCGACCCACAUCGAUUUGGUUAUGCAAAUCAAAAGAUUAGAUUUUCCAAACGAUUUCUUCUUUGGAACUUCCACAUCCUUUUACCAGAUUGAAGGGGGUUAUGUUGAAGAUGGAAGGGGAAAGAGAAAAAUUAAGGAUAAUAACACAGGAGAUUUGGCCGACAAUCACUACCACAUGUUUAUGGAAGAUAUUGAAUUGAUGGAUUCUAUGGCGAUGAAUGCUGAUCAGUUGUCCAUUUCUUGGACCCGAAUUUUGCCCAAUUGAUCAUUAGAGUUCAGCUUGCACAUAUGUUGCAGCAUAUCCAGUUGUUGUAUGAAGAGUACAUUCAGUUUCCAACCACUGUUCGUAUCCAAAAUAUUUGCUUUCAAUAAAUAUGGGAAAUAAAGGUUGUCACCUUACCUUAUCAUGUAGCUUUUGUUGAUAAUUAGUUUUUUUCAACAAAAUCAUAGUUCAAGCUCUGCUUCAUCACAAGCCAUCUCUUCCCUAUCAUUUUUUUCAGCACAAUUUCAAUUAAUCUAUAAGCUAGAGUUCAGUAAAAUGAACAAGAAGAGUUCAUAAUAAAUGAUCAUAAGGAAGAAGAGAAACACACACAUACAAAUAAAUUUUCUGAUAAAGAUGAGCUCGCUCUAUGCUAUCAUCAAAUUAUCAAUUCAUUUAGUGUUGAUAUUUUUGUUAUGAAAUGCAAUGGUAGGAAAGGGGAGGUCUUGAUAGUUGCAUUGAUAUAAUAGAUAACCAAUUGUUAAGAAAGUAUUGGAUCUUCCUUUGGUGCAUAUUUAUACUCUAGUUUAAAUUGAAUAUGGAAGAUAAGUUAGUUACAUCUUCUCUAUCAACUCAUCUUAGAAUUCCAAUGGCCCAUAUCAUUAGUAUUUUAUUGGAUUUCACUUGUUUUUUGCAUACGCACAGACAGUAAUGGUACCUUAUUCCCAUUAUUUGUGUUUUUGGGUUUGUCAGAAUCAACGGUCAACAAUAUUCAUAUGGAUUGUGUCAAGAGCUAAGACAUUAGAAGUAUUAUCAAUCAGCGUUGCUGGAAACUACAACGGAUAAUUACAAGUUGUAAUUAAUUAAUUAAAUUAAAUUAAAUAUAUAAUAUUCCUCCUCAAUCCGUAUUCCUCCUCAAUCCCAAACAUAUAUAUUUCAAUUAUAUAUUAGUAUAUAGUUUCUAACAAUAUAUAUAAGUUUAUUAUUAUUGAGUAAGAUGACAUCAAGUUGCAAGUGGCUUCUCCACAAGUUCCAACUUGGAAGAGCUAUUUUGUGAGGUAUUGUGAACAACAUGGAGAGGGAACAUGGGUUGUUGUUGACGUUUACUUAGACAAUUUACGCCUAGCUCCUGCUUUUAGAUGUAGAAGGUCAUCCGGCUGCUUAACCCAAGAAAUGCCCUACGGUUAUUCUAAGGUUACAUGGGCUGAGCAUGUUGAGGUGGAUGAUUGUAGUGUCUACAGUUUAUACAACCAACUAGUUAGCUCUGGCCACACGUUCAACGCAAAGCGUUGGAUUGCCACGUUGGAUCGUCAAUGUGAAGUCCAGUAUAUGUGAUUGUUCAUUUCUUAGAGGGCCAAACACCAUUAUGUGAAGCUAAGAGAUCAUGUAGAUAGCCAGGCGAUCAGAAUGAUUGAAAUCAUAUCGGGUUGAAAGCUAAGUGAUUGUGUAAAUAGCCAGCGACCAUUGAAGGUUGAAGAUUGAGAAGGCGUUUAGGAUUUCUCAUUUAAGUAUUGUAUUAAGAUUUUUUUUCAUGUAUUGUUGUAAAAUGUAUAUAUAAACACAAUAUUAAUUUUCAUUUUGUGUAUAUACAAAUGUAAAAGACAAAUAUUAUAGUUUCUAAAAUAAUAUUAAUUUUAUUGA